ensembl:lncRNA
GCCUAGUCAACUGAGUGGGGUCUGGGGAGGGAUGGCCUGGAUUUAAAUCUCUGUUCCUCGGCUUGCUGGCCUCAUCACGUGAGAAGGUUGGGUAACUUCUGUAAACCGAAGCUUCCGGAUUUAGAAAACGGGAUUAAAAUUGCACAUACCUCCCCAAGGGUUUUGUGAGGAGGAAGGAGGAGAAUGAAGGUAAAGCCAGCUGCUGCACCAGAGGCUGGCUUCAGUGGAGCUGCCAGCCCGUAAGAGGCAGGGUCUCCAAGCCCAGCUGGAGGCGGUGGUCAGAGUGUGCAGGCCCAGGCAGGCCUGCGCAGAGCAACAGAGCACUUGGCCUUGAAGGGACCAUCUGAUGAGGCUUGUAGCUUGUGGUGAGGAGGCAGGUUAGGGCCCGCGUGGCCUCCCCGGAGCAGAGGAGCCGCAGGGCGGCCGACAGAAGCUCCUCUGGAAAAGGAAUCCAUCCAGCCUGGUUCUGAACCCAAAACAGUCUCCCUCCCUUGGGACAGGAGGAGCAUGGCGGCCCCUCUGCAUGACGCAGACUCCUAGACCAAGGCAAGGCUCCUCCUAUGCAUGCAGCUCCCAGCGUCUCCGCCCGUGGGGGUAGGAGAGGCCUUGGGGCUUCUCUGGAAACUACCAGAGUGAGCUGGGUGUCAAGGGCUAAGGAGGGAGGAGGCCUCUGGGCAGGAAGCACGGGACUCCUGGUGCCCAGCCACACCCAGGCAGGCGGCCCUCGUGCCUGGCUGCUGCCCAGACCUCUACCAAAGGCCAGCCCUUCCCUAGCAGUGUGGUUUAUUUUUUUCUUUGAAUCACCAAUAACAGGGCAGCCUUCUGCAGAGGCUUCCUGAAGCCCACCUUUACAUCUCCAAGGCCAAAGUCCAAACUCCUUGGCCUGGCAGCCAGGUCCCUUACCACCUGGGCCUGCCUGGCUCUGUGAAACCGAGCCCCUGUAGCUCCUCUGCCUCCCCUCACCUUCCCUUCGUGCUGGCUGGUCUCUGCACCGGGAAGUGCACUUGCUUCCACACCUCCAGGCCCAGUGGUUCCAGAACUUCAGUAAAUACGAGGCUCCUUCAAAGAGAAAAGGCUGAUACAGCUCAAGCCUAUCAAGCCAAGCCCGGCACUUGUGGAGUCCCCGCCAGGACUUGAACGCCAUCUCGUCCUCCAAACUGGGCUUGGCAUUAUUAUUAGCUCCAUUCUGCAGCUGGGGUUUCUGAAGCCAAAGCCAAAGAGCUGGCUCCUUUGUGUUGUAACAAGGUUUGACAGGAAUCACGGGGCCCAGAAGACCACCAGGAAGCAGGGACAGCAUCCCCAGAGGGUAGAAGCCCACAGGUAUGGCAGCAGCAGGAGGUGACAAAGACUUUCUCCUUGAACAAACUCUAGCCAGGCUUCUCUGGCUCUUCUCGACUAGGCCUCAACCUUGACCUAAAGAAACUGCUGACUCUCAGCACAAACGAUUUUGUCCAUUCUCCCUCCCAUCCUCUCCCCUCACACUAAGAGACUUGAACAAACACGAGCAUAAUUUCCAACAGCUCACAGCUGCAUCCCGAGGAUGACAAGUCCAGUCCCCUCAGCUUCCUGCCUGAGAAAGCUCAACACUGUCAGGAGAAUUGACUGUUUGUUCGAGCCAAAACUUGGUGAUGGGAGAUGGGCCCUGAACCCCAUCUUACAGCAGAGAGAGCCAGUCUCCACCCCUCCAGGACCGAAUCUGUCGUGAAGCGGGUUGUCGGUUGCUGCCACCUCCUUCUCAACAGCACGUAUCUCCCAAGUCCCAGGGCACACUCCGGCCUCCCCACUGCGUGCAAGGACCUUGGGUGCCGGGAGCAGGAGCUCGGCAACCAGAAAUCUCAGCUUUGGGCCGUGCAUGGAGAGGCUGGGUGAUGAACUGGGUCAAGGAUGGGCCCCCAGCGCUGGCGCACGGUUCCUCCACCCCUACCCCUUCCAGCAGCCUCUCUCUGCCUGGACAUCUGCAGGCCAAGGAGCCCAGCGCUUACCCCCUCCCUGUGCUGCACAGACCACUCAGGGGUCCCGUGGGUUCCUGCUGUGACUGGCCCAUGCAGGUCCUCUUGCACCCCAGCAGUUUUGCAGACGAAACAACAUGCAGAGAAGCAAACGGGAAAAAAGGCAAAUGGUAUCAGUGCUUCUGCUAUGUGUCAGUCACUGCAUCACCUUAUUAAUCCUACAACGUGCCGUGUGUCAGUCACUACACCAUCUUAUUAAUCCUACAACGUGCCGUGUGUCAGUCACUACACCAUAUUCUUAAUCCUACAACAUGCCAUGGGUCGGUCACUACACCACCUUAUUAAUCCUACAACAUGCCAUGUGUCAGUCACUACACCAUCUUAUUAAUCCUACAACAUGCCGUGUGUCAGGUCACUUACACCAUUUUGUUAAUCCCCUACAACAACCACCUCUUUAUCAAGGAAUAAACCAGAGCCUGGACUAGGUCAAGUUCCCAAGGUCACACAGCUGAUAGAGGGCCA